GGGUGGUACAAUCGGUGGUAUAUUAAUGGGUGGUACAAUCGGUGGUAUACUAAUGGGUGGUACAAUCGGUGGUAUAUUAAUGGGUGGUACAAUGGGUUGGCCAAGAAUAGGACCAACAAUUGGACUGAGAAUAGAACCAACAAUCGGUAAUUGGCCAAGACCAACAGGUGGCACUUGACCAACGGGUGGUACAAUACGUGGUGGUGCAGGUUGACCCAAUAGGGGAUGCAAUAGAGUACCCACAAAGGGAAUGGGACCCAAAAUGGGACGAACAAUGGGACCAAGGUUAAUAGGCAAUUGAGCAUGGGCUAGAGGACUGGUGGUGAUGAUGGAAAGUAGAAUAACAAGGGAAACAACACACAUUUUUGAAGACAUGAUGAUUUGAUAAU
rnacentral:lncRNA from 1 species